UACAGAGGGGGCAAGCGUUGUUCGGAAUUACUGGGCGUAAAGGGCGCGUAGGCGGCCCUCUAAGUCGAACGUGAAAUCCCUGGGCUCAACCCAGGAACUGCGUCCGAUACUGGAAGGCUUGAAUCCGGGAGAGGGAUGCGGAAUUCCAGGUGUAGCGGUGAAAUGCGUAGAGAUCAGGAAGAACACCGGUGGCGAAAGCGCUCUGCUAGGCCGCAACUGACACUGAGGGACGAAAGCUAGGGGAGCGAAUGGG
rnacentral:rRNA from 1 species